rnacentral:tRNA from 1 species
AGAGAUGUAGCUCAGUGGUAGAGCACUUGCCUAGCAUGCACAAGGCCCUGGGUUCAAUCUCCAGUACCACAU